GAUAAGGUGGCUGAAUAUAAGCGGUUAAUUGUAAAUUAUCUUAUGGGUAAAAUCCCCUUAUCA
rnacentral:tRNA from 1 species